GCGUGACCCUCCAUAACUGUUCUGACCUGAAACAACAAGUGAACUGUUUUUCGGUGAGAUCAGAAACUGGUACUUGCAUGCUUCUGAAAGUUCGACACCAUUAUUCACUAUCCCACAUUUGAAAACGACAGAGUACAGGAACUCUUGCUUGCUAAGAGCUGGAUAGAACAUGUGAUGCAGUGAUGUGGAAUUAGGAAAUGCCAACAUGGGAUCAGUAUUUUACAAGGGAUAACUGCUUCAGGAUAGGACAAUGGGAUUUUCGUUUUCACGUCCAUGUGAGUGGGAGAUGGAACUUUGGCCUUCCCCUAAAGAUGACACCGCCAACAGUUUGACACUGCCCCAGUGUGGCACAGCUGUAUUUUUGUCUUCACAUUGGACCUGAACCCACAAAUUCUGGUUUAAAGACAAGACUGUUUGGAGCAAACCAAGUGGGACAAUUCGACUGCACAGUAAGUGAACAUUGUCAUCAAUUGUUUGGACCUGAUGGUCUGUAACUGUUGCGUAUUAAGUAUAGUAUAGCCUGAUGAGGGUAGAGUCUUCUUCAUGUGCCGACAAUAAAUGGUUUAUGUGAAAUUAGUUUGGACGGUCUCUCUACAGUUUCUUGCUAACAUGGACUAACUGCAUUUUCUUUAAAUUGCCACUAAAUGGUAAGUUGACUCAAUGGAACCAUAGAAAGGGCAAUGUGCAAUUGGGGCAGAAAUGGUCACAAUGAUGAAGGUACAUCUGGGGGUGGGGCUAAAUAGAAGGAAGUGGAUGGAACAUUGUUCACCAUCGAUUCUGUUGAGCACAGAAACCAAUGGAAACAUCCGGGGCUUAAUUUGUAUGUUGCAAUAUUUGUGUCACUACUGAGUUGCCCAACACGGCUGAGAGAUCAGAGAAAAUCACUGACUGCAGAGAUUUCUUUUUUAAAAAAGUUGUUGUCUUGUCGUUCAGUUGAUUUGUGGUAGGAAA